AUCUGCAAAUGUUCUAAAAUUCAGCGAUCUGCUUUCAGUGCUGAUCUCAGUUCUUGAAAUGCUCUGAAGAUGAGUCUGCUGCACGUCUGUUUCUCCACAAGAAAUAUGUCUCAUGGAGAGGAACAUCCAAGAAAUCUUUAACAUGAUUGUGAAAGAGAUGACAGUUCUGCUUCUUAUAUGAUAUUGAGAGUUGACUUGUAGGUACAGCAACCUGACAAUGACAGAUUUUCAGCAUGAACUAUUUACAUCAGAGCUUUAUCCAAGGUUUAACAGUAGCAUUGAAGCUGCACUUUUUAAUGGUGACAACCUGGACAAGUAUAAAAAGGUACAGAUGGGAAGUGUUUCUCAUCUGCUGCUCCAUCAAACACCACUGCAUGAAAAAGAAGCCAGGGGAAGGAAUGUUGAGCAAAGGAGGGAGGGAGUGAAGAGAGAUGGAGAGGCCUCAGUCAUUCAAGUUGCAUCUCUCAUUUCUCUUGGUUCCAGCAGCUACUUCUGUGCACUGAGGGAUAGACCUAAGAAGAAGAAGAAUUCCGAACCAGUGGUGCAAAUGCUUGCAAAGAUCUUGGUGACCUGCACAGAGCCUCUUUGUUUUGAUAUCCAGGUA